rnacentral:rRNA from 1 species
UACGUAGGGGGCAAGCGUUAUCCGGAUUUACUGGGUGUAAAGGGAGCGUAGACGGCACUGCAAGUCUGGAGUGAAAGCCCGGGGCUCAACCGCGGGACUGCAUUGGAAACUGCGGGACUGGAGUGUCGGAGGGGUAAGCGGAAUUCCUGGUGUAGCGGUGAAAUGCGUAGAUAUCAGGAGGAACACCGGUGGCGAAGGCGGCUUACUGGACGAUGACUGACGCUGAGGCUCGAAAGCGUGGGGAGCAAACAGG